rnacentral:rRNA from 1 species
ACACAUGCAGUCGAACGAAGUAGCAAUACUUAGUGGCAGACGGGUGAGUAACAUGUAGGUAUCUGCCCUUUGGCCUGGAAUAACACGAGGAAACUUGUGCUAAUACCGGAUAAGUCUUUACGGAGAAAGCUUUAUGCACCAUUGGAUGAGCCUGCACUUGAUUAGUUUGUUGGUGGGGUAAUGGCCUACCAAGACUGUGAUCAAUAGCUGAUUUGAGAGGAUGAUCAGCCACAUUGGGACUGAGACACGGCCCAAACUCCUACGGGAGGCAGCAGUGGGGAAUCUUGCACAAUGGAGGAAACUCUGAUGCAGCGAUGCCGCGUGAGUGAAGAAGGCCUUUGGGUUGUAAAGCUCUUUCGUCGGGGAAGAAAAUGACUGUACCCGAAUAAGAAGGUCCGGCUAACUUCGUGCCAGCAGCCGCGGUAAUACGAAGGGACCUAGCGUAGUUCGGAAUUACUGGGCUUAAAGAGUUCGUAGGUGGUUGAAAAAGUUGGUGGUGAAAUCCCAGAGCUUAACUCUGGAACUGCCAUCAAAACUUUUCAGCUAGAGUAUGAUAGAGGAAAGCAGAAUUUCUAGUGUAGAGGUGAAAUUCGUAGAUAUUAGAAAGAAUACCAAUUGCGAAGGCAGCUUUCUGGAUCAUUACUGACACUGAGGAACGAAAGCAUGGGUAGCGAAGAGGAUUAGAUACCCUCGUAGUCCAUGCCGUAAACGAUGUGUGUUAGACGUUGGAAAUUUAUUUUCAGUGUCGCAGGGAAACCGAUAAACACACCGCCUGGGGAGUACGACCGCAAGGUUAAAACUCAAAUGAAUUGACGGGGACCCGCACAAGUAGUGGAGCAUGUGGUUUAAUUCGAAGAUACGCGCAGAACCUUACCAACACUUGACAUGUUCGUCGCGACUCUAAGAGAUUAGAGUUUUCGGUUCGGCCGGACGAAACACAGGUGCUGCAUGGCUGUCGUCAGCUCGUGUCGUGAGAUGUUGGGUUAAGUCCCGCAACGAGCGCACC